rnacentral:lncRNA from 1 species
GCCUUUGAUUCCUCCACUAGGACCACGCCAAGAAACUCUUCUCAAGAGAUCUCACCACCUAGAGUUUGGUUUUGUACUCCAACACAUGAAAAAACUAAACCCUAGGUCAAGCAGCCCUCACUUGUCUUUUUCUCUCUUCUUCUCUCUCUUUCUAUUUUCUCUCUUUUCUUUUACUUAAUUUUCUUCAAAAUUUUUUUUGCUUAAUCCUCACUUAUCCCACGCCCAAAUGUCAGGAUAUCUGCUCCAAAAUUCAUAGGGGGCGUCCCCUAUAAAUAAAAAAUGAAGAGAUGCAUGGGUCUCCCAAGGGGCACCAACUCUUGGUGCUCUACCUUCUCACAUAGGAAAAUGAAUCCUCAUGCAAGAAUAAAUGGUGUGGAGGAGUCCCAAGUGCAGAAAAACUCCUCUUCCACAUCC